GCCAAAUAUUUUGAAGACAUCCAACUUCCAUUUUUUUUCCUUCUUCAAUUUGCAGAGAACUUCUAAGAGAGAGUUUGGAAGAAGAAGAGGAAUUUUACUAGAAUUUUGAGGUUGAAGAAGAGGAGGAGAACUCAAGCAAAGUGUAUCCAUGGCUGAAUCUUGGUUCAUUCUACACAUCACUGGUUUUUAAUUCGUUUUGAACUCUUCAAAAGGAAUUAAGAGGGACAAGUUAAAGAGAUCGUGUGCGCGCGAUUCUGGAAGUGGUUCUGUUUCGAGGGUUAUUUGAGUUUAUGCACGGAGAAUCAGAUUUACAUGUCUUCAAGUAACUUUUAGAGGAUCUCAAAAUGAAGGGUACACCCAGUACAACAACGUUUACAAGCUCAACGAUAUAGUGAGGCCCGCCCAGCACUCCCAUCGUCUUUGUCGUAGUGGGGCCCGCUCAGCACUCACGACAACAUCGUUGUUACAGAGUACACUCAACGUCAACAACAUAAUCUAACCAGUGUGCACAUGGUUGCUAAGCUAUUUUGCACUUAAGUUUCUAAUGUGGUCACAUCAAAACUGUUGCUGGUGAUGAUGGAACACUAAAAUAAGCUUCAAAGAACCAGAUGGAGUGAUGUCCCAUCUGCAUCGGAACAAUCAGUAACUACAUUGUUGAAGUAUCGACAGAUAUUUGAUCAAUUGACGCACACUUAGUGAAAAGGUUUAGACUUACGUGGGUUCUAUGAUAUGCUUCUAUAUCGUUGAGUUUCGUCUACCAAAUCGUGUAUUGUUGCGAUAGUUCGAUGUGCUUCAAAUCCAACCAUCAUUAUGCUUUAUAGACCCGACACUGCACCAAAUUGAUUUAAGAUGCAAACACAAUCAAGAUUGACACCUGAUGACACUUACUAUUAUUGCAUGAAUAAUUUUGUUCAAGACGUAUAUGCUUACUCGAUGGAACACAAUUUACAAGAUUUUAGCUCAAUGUGUAAUCAAACCUUGGAUUAUUCAAUAGACCAAAUGACUCAAUGUUGCAGAGAUAGAUCGAAAAAUGCAUUCGAUGUACAAGAGGACAAGACGAUGAUAUUGCAGAGAGAGAUCAGGAUAAUGAUUAGUUU